rnacentral:misc_RNA from 1 species
GAAAAUGUAGGGAAAGAAAUUUUUAACUUAUGUUUGGAUGGGAGAAAACUAGAAGGAAACAAGAAGUGAUGAAAAAGUUGUUAUCUCCUGGUAAAUUUAUUGAAGUAUUGCAAUUGAAAUUUACAAUUUUAUCCUUUUAUGAAGUUACAUUUCGAGGACAAGAAAUUUACAUCGAAAGGAGCACUUUCCUCUCUCAUAAACUCCAAAUUAAUGACAUUUGUUUACCCGAGAAGAAAAUUUAUGGUUAGUUUCUUUCUUCCUAUUUUCCCUUUCUUUCCUCAAAAAGGAAAAUGUCAUUUCCAAGUUAUUUUCUUUCCUCCCAUUUU